CAGUCGCCGCGGUAAUACAGAGGGUGCGAGCGUUAAUCGGAUUUACUGGGCGUAAAGCGUGCGUAGGCGGCUUUUUAAGUCGGAUGUGAAAUCCCUGAGCUUAACUUAGGAAUUGCAUUCGAUACUGGGAAGCUAGAGUAUGGGAGAGGAUGGUAGAAUUCCAGGUGUAGCGGUGAAAUGCGUAGAGAUCUGGAGGAAUACCGAUGGCGAAGGCAGCCAUCUGGCCUAAUACUGACGCUGAGGUACGAAAGCAUGGAGCAAACAGGAUUAGAUACCCCCGUAGUCCCUGUCUCUUAUACAC
rnacentral:rRNA from 1 species